GUGUUGACGGUCUUGUCACUUCCAAUUGGUUUACUGGACCAAAGGUUUUAUGGGAAAGGCACAUACCUCUCUCUGUGGAUGUUAACGCACAACUUCUGAUCAGAGACCUAGAGGUCAAGAAGGCUAAAUCUCUUGAUGCAAUGCAAAAAAUCAUGCAGAUACAGGUCAAGAGCUUCAGUUAUUGUUCACAUCAAACAUCAGAAUUGGGAAAAAGUGUGAUCUCUGUGACUUUAACUGUGGCAUGAUUGUUGGUACCAGAAGGACUGGUUUGAGUAUUUCAGAAACUACUCCUGGAAUCUCCUGGAAUUUUCACACACAACAGUCUCUAGAGUUUACACAGAAUGGUGCAAAAAACACUGAGUGAGCGACAUGUCUGUGGGUGAAAACACCUUGUUGAUAAGAGGGAUCAGAGGAGAAUGACCAGACUGGUCCUCUGAUCCCUCUAUCAGGAAGUCUAUAGUAACUCAAAUAAGCACUCUUUACCACCAUGGAGAGCAGAAAAGCAUCUCAGAACACACCACACAUCAAUCCUUUAGGUGGAUGGGCUACAACAGACCACAUCAGGUUCUACUCCUGUCAGCCAAGAACAAGAAUCUCCAAAAUGGACAGUUGAAGACUGGAAAAAGACCAGUAACGUGUAACCCAAAGGGAAGAGGAGACAAAAUGACACCGCUAAUGGAUAGCAAUUUUAAAUGAAACAGCUCAUCAGCAAAAAAGGCAACACAGGCAUUAAACUCUGCUGUUAAUGCCCUAAGUAUAAGAUACGCCAUGAGUGGUUGUUACGCAUUCGCACUCGGACAGGACUCUGCACCUCAUCAGAUGAAGUCCCUGAUGCCUGAUCACUCUCUCCAUCAGACCCCAUUUUCACAUUUUCAUGAACUAUGCCUUAAGACACACACAAAAUCACUAUGACCGUAAAUCACUAAAUCUUAGUACACCUAAAAUCCUAAUGGAAGCGGUUUGUAACAAA